rnacentral:lncRNA from 1 species
AGGAAGGAAGGAAGGAAGGAAGGAAGGAAGGAGGAAACAGAAAGAAAAACGUGGAAUUCCCACAGAUCAUCUACAUUGUGAGAAAUCCGAAGGAUACAGCGGUGUCCAUGUUCCAUUAUUACAGGGACAACCCUAACCUCCCUUCCACAGAAACAUGGGCUGCGUUUCUAGAGCUGUUCCUCAAAGGAGACGUUGUGUAUGGCUCCUGGUUUGAUCAUGUUUUGAGCUGGGAAGAACACAAAAAUGAUAAGAACGUCCUCUUCCUCUUCUACGAAGAAAUGAAAAAGGAUUUUGUUAAGAGCCUAAAGAAAAUAACUGCUUUCCUUGGCAUUGAUGUGAACGACAGCGAGAUGGGUAAGAUCGCUCGGAGUACAUCGUUCAGUGAAAUGAAAAGUAACGCUGCCAAAGAAAACUGCGAUCCCAAUCACGUCAUCUGUGCCCUCACGUC